ACCUCAAAUAAUUCUCACAGAAAGCCACUUGCAUAAGCUUUGAUGCAGGACAUAUUUCCUUUUGGGCCGAAAUGUGACUUCUACUGAUAGUAGAAGCUUCUUCAGUUUCCGUUGACUGUCUUCAAUAUUAUUUCCUUUUUCCUGUUUACUAUUCAGGGGACAGAUUGGAGCAUUUUGCUUCAGUGGUGACUCUAGUUGCACGAAGCUUGAAAGUUCGAGGUAAGUUAGCUACUGUCCAUAAAAAGAUUGCAAAUGAUGGCUUUUUAGAUCAAUGUUUUUUCUCUGAAAUGGUUUUUCUUUUCCCCGAAAUGCUACUUUCAAAUUAUCUCGUUUACUUUUUCUUAGUAAAUUGAUAACUCUCAAGGAACAAUACCAAGUCUCAUAUAUGGUAGAAAUGUAAAUAAGUUUCUUAAUAGAUUCAUAAGAGAAUAAUCUUUAUGUCUUCUGCAAUUCUGGUUUUAUUUUCAUGCUUUAGACGGUACAACUUUUAUGAAUAUAUGGCACACUUGUCGUUACUUUCACCUCACAAGACAAUUUCUCCGUUCAUUAAAACUUCCGCUAAUGAAGGACUUUAACAAAGAUAGUUGUCAUGAAUAUUUUUGCAAAGAGUGACCCAUUGGCUCUUAAAAUGUCCUUAGCAGUAUAUAUAUUCAUCUUAAACAGAUUCAUGUUUGAAACACCAGCAUGGGCCUCGUCGAAAUGCUACUUGUGUUAGAUGUGUUUGAGUGUCAUGAUUGGCAAGGGAAAUUGCAUGUGGCGGAAAUUGGAGUGGAAAUACUAUUUACUUGUAUGACUAAGAUUUGUACAAAUAGAGUUCAUUUUUCCAGCAAACAUUUUGAACUUUAAUACUUAGCUCCUGCAUCAUUGCCUAGUUGAUAGCUUCUGUAAUGUACAUCUGCUUAUUCUAAGUGGGAAGCUCCUAACCUCAAA